rnacentral:rRNA from 1 species
AUACGGAGGGUGCAAGCGUUACUCGGAAUCACUGGGCGUAAAGCGCGCGCAGGCGGUCUUUUAAGUUGGAUGUGAAAGCCUACGGCUCAACCGUAGAACUGCAUCCAAAACUAUUAGACUAGAGUGUGGGAGAGGAAGAUGGAAUUAGUUGUGUAGGGGUAAAAUCCGUAGAGAUAACUAGGAAUACCAAAAGCGAAGGCAAUCUUCUGGAACACUACUGACGCUGAGGCGCGAAGGCGUGGGGAGCAAACAGGAUUAGAAACCCGGGUAGUCC